GCGGUUGUAGUAUAACGGUUAGUACGUGUGGUUGUGGUCCGCAAAGCGAGGGUUCGAUUCCCUCCUUCCGCC
rnacentral:tRNA from 1 species